rnacentral:lncRNA from 12 species
GCAGGAGCUCAGCAGCACCAGAGUGGCUGAGCUGCACCUAAUUUUGGGUGUGCAACUGUGGAAGUGUUUUCACACUGCUCUGGAAUCUCUCCACUUCUGGAUCACCCAGUAACAUCUUGCUUCUUGCUCAGCUGUGUGCAGAGCACUGGACAACUUCAUUGAACAGUGAAGCACAAAGUCUUGGUUUCUAUUUAGUCCUGGGAGAGAUUGUGCUCAAAGGCCCAACUGAGACAGUUGUCAUUACAGAUGACUUCCAGCACUGGACACCUUCAUCUGCAGUGGUUUGCUUUCCUGGGGAGCUCACAAGAUCUUCC